rnacentral:rRNA from 1 species
UACGGGGGGAGCAAGCGUUGUUCGGAUUUACUGGGCGUAAAGGGCGCGUAGGCGGCGCAACAAGUCACUUGUGAAAUCUCCGGGCUUAACUCGGAACGGUCAAGUGAUACUGUUGUGCUAGAGUGCGGAAGGGGCAACUGGAAUUCUCGGUGUAGCGGUGAAAUGCGUAGAUAUCGAGAGGAACACCUGCGGCGAAGGCGGGUUGCUGGGCCGACACUGACGCUGAUGCGCGAAAGCGUGGGGAGCAAACAGG